GACCUUAUAGUCAAAAAUGAUAUUAGACUGCAAUUCUAAAGGAGUAGACUGUCUACUAAGGUUU
rnacentral:tRNA from 1 species